rnacentral:rRNA from 1 species
AACUUCCAACGGUGGAUCUCUCGGCUCGUGCAUCGAUGAAGAACGCAGCAAACUGCGAUAUCUAGUGCGAAUUGCAGAAUUCAGUGAAUCAUCGAGUCUUCGAACGCAAAUGGCGCCCCUGGGGUCGUUCCCGAGGGCACGUCUGUCUGAGCGCUCUUUUCUCUCCAAGUGGUCCCGCUUGCCCUAUGGCGUGCGGCGACAGUUUGGGCGGUCGUGCGGUUCAUCGUGUUCCGCGUGCCGGCCCAGAGAUCGAUACGAAGUCCCUGCGAAAGCAGCAGACGCCUCGUUCCGGUAAGAUCGGUCGAGUGCUGUGCUGUUUUUCGUUGGGGGAAAGGUUCUGGUUGGCCACUCUGUGGAGCCUCAGAUCAGUCGAG